GGGGGUAUGGUGAAAUUGGCUAUCAUUGCGGUCUCCAAAACCGCCGUUUCAGGUUCGAGUCCUGAUACCCCUGCCA
rnacentral:tRNA from 1 species